AACUAAUCAAAAAUUUUAAAUCCAGGGAAUAUCGUAAUUGCGUUUAGCGCCCCUAUUGCUCGUGAUCGACGGGUACUUUUUGGGCAGACGGUCGGACUCGGGAGAGAGUCGGCCGCGGUUAUGUUAACUCGAGGGAAAUGGUGGUUGGCACUUUCGCUGUUAGGAGGGUUCGUGAAUGCAAGUCCAGCUACGGUCGCUCUUUUCGAUUUUGGGCCCCACUUCAGAAGGUAGUGUUUGUGGUGGAAAGAGGAAAUAUUAGCGGAAAAACAUAACUAAACCUCGCGCCAGUGCUAAAUCAAAGAAAAAAAGACAAACAAAAGAAUCGUGUUGCUUUCAAAUUAUACCAUAAAGAAAUCGAAAAGAAAUUUGCCACCCCAGUAAGGGGGCGUUCCAUUCUGACCCCACGCCGGAGGCAAGGCAUCCGAAAGUGGUCUCUUUUUUUUUGUUUCGGACGGCCAUUUGCAAGUUAAUAUAACAAGAGUGCCAAUCGCCACAUAGCGAAUUGGCACGUUGUGCCAAGCAGAUUUCCAAGGGAGAAUAGCGGAAAAAGAUAAUUGGGAUCGAUGACCGAGCCGGCCGCAGCCACAACCAGCUGGCCAUAGAAAGGGAAGAGAAGAGACUGCGCUCCCGGAAAAAAAAAAGCACAAGAACCGAUCGAAUUCGCCGCUGGCGCAGAGAAGCGCAAGGCAGAGAGUCCGCCGCUCCAGCUGUGGGUCCGACUCAGUGCAUCAGCAGCAUCGUCGGCGCCGGGAAGCUGCGAAACUAAAAGCGGAAUAUUGAACAUUUUUUUUGGCCCCCAAGUUUUUUUGCGUAAAUAUCUUGCCCUCGGCCGACCUGGCUUAGUGAAAAAAAAGUAGAGGAAAUAAAAACCCAGAUCAAAAUUAUACCCAUGAGCCAAUAGGCAAGGUCUUACAAUUAUAGCAAGCGGAUCGUCUUCGACAAAAGCGCUUUUGGAGAUGGAUGGCACGUAAGUGAAAGAAUAUUGCUUUACUCUAAAUAAAUUGCAUGCAUGAGCGUGAGAGAAGGAGAGGUAUAGGAAAGAAAGAAGGGGAGAGGUAAAACAGUUGGGCAGAUCCACAUGCCGGAAGAGAUAGCAAGAACAGUAACCAUGGGUUUUUUGUUGUUGUCACAAAUGCUCUGUUAAAUUUGUAUGCCAGUUUAGCGGCUACCUCCUAUAUACAUAUACUGUUUUUUUAUUAUAUACACAUUUAAUUCUUUUUUUUCUAUUUAGUUAUAAUUCUUCUAUUUUAAUUAUUAUUAGUAUUAUUUUAAUUUCCAACCUGGAAUAUUCUCGAAUCCUGUUGUUCGCUAAAAUAGUUAUUGAGUCAAUUGGGAGUUUAAGUAGAGUAGGGAAAUGCCCCUGUGUCAAGUAAUAAAUAAGUUUUAAAAUGAAAUCGAUAAUGAACUAAAUUAUUUUAGGGCGCCAUGCCGAGUGGAUUAUGGAAAUGAAGUGAGUCUGGGGGAUUUAGGGAUCAUCGGCCACUAAUAUGGCUUUGCGGCCCAGAUGGUCAAGGUAGGGUGGGCAAAACGCUGCUACACCUACAGCUACUCAGCAGCACAACCCGUACUUCAGCAUGUUCUGUUUUCUUUGCAGAGCAACCUCUAUGUGUGCAUAGCUUGUCACUCUUGGUAGUUUCUUUUCUGUAUGGCCAGUCCGAUCGAUCAUGUGUUAGGGAGGAAAACCGCACGCGAAAUCAAUAUUAUUAUAUGUAUCCAAUGCGAGCAGGUAGCACAGUGGUAAAUCCUCACCCCCCCCCUUGCCGACGACAAAUAGAAGCCGGAACCAGCGCGUGCUCCUCUGGUCGCUACAAUAAGAUCAGCUCGUUAUGAUAGAGUAUCGCU